CCCUAUGGGGCGCAGCAGGUGGCCAACGCGGCGGUGGCCCAGGUGGCCCUGAACCGGCACCAGCAGAUUUUGGCGCAGCAACUGCAAGCGUUGAACGACCCGGCGGCCCAGCAGCGGUUGGCACAGUCGCAGCAGCAGGCCGCGCGGCUGGCGGCGGCGGGCGCGGCCCAGAACGGGCAACAGGGGGCCGGGGCGUUUCCCUUCCCCUUCGCAUUCCAGGGCGCGGUAGGCUACCAGCCGGUGAUCAUCACGCUGCCCGAGGGGGCGAACAUGAUGGCCACGGCCGUGAUUUCCGCCGAUCGGCGCUACGUGCGGAUCACCUGCGUGCCCGUGUUCUCCGGAGUUGCCAAGGUGACUACGUUUAAUACCGAUGGCGGGAGGGC
rnacentral:rRNA from 1 species